GCACCAAAUCAGCCGCAGGAGCACAGGUGAAGGCAAUUCAGCCGUGUGACCAGAAGGGGUGAAGCCAGGCUCCACCUCUCCUAGACCCCAUUUAAGGGCUGACUGCCACUGAGGAAGGAUCUCUUCUUGGAGAUUGCUCCUUGUGGAGUUUUUGCAAGCCUACAACACCGAAGUUACGUUCUCCUUUUUCUGGGUAGAGUGCAAGCUCUGAGGGGACCCCCUGCCCUGCAGGUUUAUUCAUGGUCAGAAGCAGAAACACAGAAGCGAAUUGAUUUAUGGUGCUGCAGAUCCUAUCUGGCUGCUCUGCCCAGAGCACGUGCUUGGAAAAAGGACCUGGACAAGGAGCCUCACUGUCGUCGUUGCUGUUUUGUCUACAACUUUCCUUACUCACCCCUUAAGUUAGAGCAGUUUCUUCCAAACCGCGAUAAAUUGGUUUCUUACUCCCUUGUGCUCACAUCAGUAUUUUGAGUGGUUGUGUCCCAAAUCUCGGGAGGAAAACAGAGCAAACAACAGGAUCAGAGGCCGUGGGCACGGGCUGAAGCACAGGAAGCUCUCUCUGAGCACCAGGCAGCACUGCUGUGCUGUGCGGGUGACAGAGUGCUGGCACAGGCUGCCCAGAGGCUGUGAGGUCUCCUCCUCAGAGAUCUUUGAAACCACCUGGAUGUGGGCCUGUGCACCUGCAGUGGGUGUCCCUGCUGGGGCCUGUGCCAACCUCAGCCACCCUGUGAUGAUUCUGUGAUUCCCUCAGGUCUGGUCUCAGUGGAGGCAGUGCGACUUCACCAUUAUGCACAUACACUGCCUUCCCUUCAUCACUGGAGCUAUAAGAGAGAUGUGUCAUGUUUGAUUGGGAAAAUAUCGAUGUCGGUGGGAAAUCCCUGAGCAAAACUUCGUCACACGCUUUAAAGGAGGAGAAAGAUUCACUAUUUCCUCGUACAGGGCAGAGUGCUCCCCGUGAAUAACUGGACCCAACCUAAAAGCAGAAGGAAGUGUCUUUUUAAAGAACAGAGGUGUGGUGAUGACACUGUCGUGCUUCAUAGGCCUUGUGUAACCGGUGACGUGUGCGGCUUCUGAAGAGCCGGUUCCCCAGUCAGGCUGAGGUCACUCCCCAAGAAGAACAAUAAAAGACCAAUAAGUUGGCUGGCUGCAGGGAUCUGCCCCUUUCCCCCAGUAAAAAGAUAUUCGCUGGAUACAAACAUGGGUUUCUGUGGACUGGCAUGACUGCUGUGGUGGUUUGCGUAAAUCCAAGCUGGAAGUUUUGAAAGGGGAGAAUGCCAACCCAACAGACUGAGUCUACGGCCGCUAAGCGCCCUGAAGCCGCAAGGAACAGGCAGUUCCAUGCUGAGGGCACGUGGUUACCUACAGUCGUAUCUAUGUAAAUGUCUCCACACUGACUUGUUCAGCAAUUUACAACUUUCAAAUUACGGUUGUUUAAAGGGUGUGAAAAGGCUUUAUGUCAAGAAAUUGCUUUCAUGUUCAACUGGAUGCAAGCUAGAGUCUACAAUAGGGGAACUGGUUCUCCAGUAAAGGUUGUUCAGCACACUGGCCCAAACCUGGCCUGCUCUUGCACUCAUGGCAGAGCUCUUCAGGGCAAUAUGAAAAUACAUCUUUCCUGCUUUCCUACAAGAAGCGUAUGUACGUUUAUUUAACUGAGGGAUGAUCCUAAUCUGCAGUAAUUCUGCAGGCAUUGGUGAAUGACGUUGGAAAUAGGGAAGUGAAAUGGCCAGGGAUUUCCAAGACAAAGAAGAAUGAGUUACAGAUAAAGUUGCAUCCUAUUGAUACACUCAUCAUCUGGGAAGAAGCCUGCUGGAUCACUGCUUCCCCAUCUCUCUGUAGCCUGCUGUCAACCCAGUAGUACACAACCCUACUGAACUCAAAGCUGCAAGAUUCUCAGCCAAGGAAGAGUGCUUCACCGUGCUGUGGGUGUGCUUGACAAGUUCCACUAACAAUGGGAUGCUUUCACUCAUUUACCUGCAGUGACUGACCUUGGCAUGUGAGCAGCACUGGCAGCAGGACCCCUCCAGAGGCUGCUCUCCCAGGUGAGCACGGAGGAUCACAAAGCAGAAACUCCUUCAGGCCCCAUAGAUAUCAACGGGUCUGCUCGGCUCUGCCAGGUGUAGUCGUGCAUUUCAAGUUUCUUCCUGACUCUGGGUUUUAAUUCUUGUGAGUUUCACUGGAACAAAGAUAUCAGGCUAUUUAUGCACUGGCCUUCUUUGUGUGUAUGCAGCUACCAAUGUCUUUGAUGCUCCAUUUCCCAGUAGCUUUUUUCCCUCUGGGUCUCAGGUCCCAGCUAGUGUCCCCUAUUGUAAUCUUUGGCAUUGCCCUACCACUGCUCCAGCAACCUCCAUUAGUGCCUCCCUGACCUAGCGUACAGCUCAGGUUGGCUGCCUGGGAAGGCCAUGCAACUUAAUUUAGAGCUCAUCAGAAGAGUCGAUGAGCCAUGGCCUUCCUAUUUUGCAAAGAGACAUACCUAUGGCCCAGACGCUGCUGCAAUGGGCACACUGGAAACACAGGAAGAUAAAGUAGUUGGCAGACAAGCCCUGGUCCCGUCUGUUUGUUUUUGUCUUUCAUCCAGACAUGCAGUCAAGCAAAAUCAGCAUGACUUGAUCCGACCAGAAGGCAACACCGACACUUGGUAGACCCACAGUAUUUCACAAUGUUGUUGUUUUACUCCAGCCGCCAAAUGUAAAACAAGACACAAGCACCUGGGUCUGCUAAAGCUCAUCUGCUGAGGCCUGGGUUUGGCACUACAAGCUCUCACACUUUUUUUUGCUGCCAUCCUAUAGCAUCCCAUAGGCCACACGGUAUCGUGCACAGGCUGACUCCACAGCUCCUUCAGGUCUCAGGUGUUUUCAAGGUGCAUCUGCAGCUCUUUUGGGCUGAAACUACUACAUGGUCCUCUGACACAUGGUUUGAUAUCAAAAUUGCAGAACAGGGAUUGAUUCAGGAGAAGAAAAGCCAGCAGCCCUAAAUGACAGGAAGCCAGGAUGCUGGAACCUGCUUGGAAGGGACGGGGAUGUUUGUCUCCAGCCCAUUCUCCUGACACCCAGUCCUUGUGCACAACCACAGCAGCCAUGGGCUGCCCAGCCUAAAAGCUUCUGGCACUAUUUCAUUGAGAAGCUUUUGCACUUCUUAAAUUCAGCAGGAACAAAGCCGGGGAGUCAGAAGUGCGCUUUGAUUCUGCUCCUUUCAAUGGUCUUGGCUGAAAUAAAAAC
rnacentral:lncRNA from 1 species